rnacentral:rRNA from 1 species
AAUAUUGCACAAUGGGCGCAAGCCUGAUGCAGCCAUGCCGCGUGUAUGAAGAAGGCCUUCGGGUUGUAAAGUACUUUCAGCAGUGAGGAAGGUGGAUAUGUUAAUAGCAUAUUCAUUUGACGUUAGCUGCAGAAGAAGCACCGGCUAACUCCGUGCCAGCAGCCGCGGUAAUACGGAGGGUGCGAGCGUUAAUCGGAAUUACUGGGCGUAAAGCGCAUGCAGGUGGUUUGUUAAGUCAGAUGUGAAAGCCCGGGGCUCAACCUCGGAAUUGCAUUUGAAACUGGCAAACUAGAGUACUGUAGAGGGGGUAGAAUUUCAGGUGUAGCGGUGAAAUGCGUAGAGAUCUGAAGGAAUACCGGUGGCGAAGGCGGCCCCCUGGACAGAUACUGACACUCAGAUGCGAAAGCGUGGGGAGCAAACAGGAUUAGAUACCCUGGUAG